GACCUGGCUUAGCUGUCACUCUCAAGGGGGUCUGAUCCCAAAGUCAUGAACAUCUUCAGAAGUCCCUCCUUUUCCGGGCAUUACCUUUCUCAUUCUUUCCACCUCCUCCUCAGCAAUACCCUGUCCUGAGUCUCCUCUCCAACAGUCCCCCAUGGAAGACGGCACAGAGUGGCCAGGAGCAUGGCCCCCCGAAGGAACAGAAGCCAAGAUUCAGAUGAAGAAAUGAACUCAGAGAAGAGACCAGAAUUGCCCAAGCUCACCCUGGGCGGUACUGGAGGCUUCAGCUUGCAGCAGGAAGGCCUCACUGGCUGACCCUCAAACCAGGCCUGGAGACCUUGGGGCUUCCUCUAGAGGCCUUUAGCUGGAAAAUUGCUCCAGGCAGGGAACCAGGCCCGAGGGCUGGAAGUGCCCGCUAUGCCUGAGCAGAGCUGCUCCCUGGACAGCAAGAGCCCCCACAGAGGGCAGGCCCCUGGCCGCUUCCAGCACCCAGGGCCUGGAUCAGCCUCGCCAAUCUCAGACUCAACUGUGUGUCCAAUGCCACCUUCAAGCAGAGCAGGCAAGAACCAAGUCCUGGAAUUUUCUAAAAAAAACAUCCAGAGAUGCUGGGAGCCAGAGCUAAGAGGGACAUGUCCCCUUGGCCUGGUCUUGAUCCCAAACAUGCCUAUUCUCUUUAUAACUGAUCCCCUGGCUCUUGGAAUAGCAGGUCCCAGGACAUGAAUUGCUUGUGAUGAAGAGCGGGGGUGGAUGCUGGCAUUACCUGCGCCAUCUUUGUGUCCCACUCCACCCAUGGUUCCCGGAUGUUAAGGAAGGCAGCCGGCACUUAGGUGAGGUGGGGA